AUACUAUUUUUUCGCUUUAUAAUGGUACCCUUCGUGCCGCGUCCGACUCGCACUUGGCCAAUUUUAUUUAAUGUACCAGACAA